rnacentral:miRNA from 1 species
UAUUGUGUUGGCCAAAGUGUUCAUUCAGAUUUUUCCAUAACAUCUUAUGGAAAAACCCAAAUGAACUUUCUGGCCAGCCCAAU